rnacentral:tRNA from 7 species
GUCCGGUGUGCAGCGGAAGCGUGGUGGGCCUAUAACCCACAGGUCCCAGGAUCGAACCUGGCUUUGAUA